UACGUAGGGCGCAAGCGUUGUCCGGAAUUAUUGGGCGUAAAGAGCUCGUAGGCGGUCUGUUGCGUCGGCUGUGAAAACCCGGGGCUCAACCCCGGGCCUGCAGCCGAUACGGGCAGACUAGAGUUCGGCAGGGGAGACUGGAAUUCCUGGUGUAGCGGUGAAAUGCGCAGAUAUCAGGAGGAACACCGGUGGCGAAGGCAGGUCUCUGGGCCAUAACUGACGCUGAGAAGCGAAAGCAUGGGGAGCGAACAGG
rnacentral:rRNA from 1 species